UACGAAGGGGGCGAGCGUUGUUCGGAAUUACUGGGCGUAAAGGGCGCGUAGGCGGCGAUCCUAGUCAGAUGUGAAAGUCCUGGGCUUAACCUGGGGACUGCAUUUGAUACUGGAUUGCUUGAAUGCAGGAGAGGAUAGCGGAAUUCCCAGUGUAGAGGUGAAAUUCGUAGAUAUUGGGAAGAACACCGGUGGCGAAGGCGGCGACCUGGUCCGUGACUGACGCUGAGGCGCGAAAGCGUGGGGAGCAAACAGG
rnacentral:rRNA from 1 species